GUGCUUAACACAUGCAAGUCGAACGGACCUUCGGGUCAGUGGCGGACGGGUGAGUAACGCGUGAGAAUCUGCCCUCAGGAGAGGGGAUAACGGCUGGAAACGGCCGCUAAUACCCCAUAUGCCGCGAGGUGAAAUGAAUUUCGCCUGAGGAUGAGCUCGCGUCUGAUUAGCUAGUUGGUGGGGUAAAGGCCUACCAAGGCGACGAUCAGUAGCUGGUCUGAGAGGAUGAUCAGCCACACUGGGACUGAGACACGGCCCAGACUCCUACGGGAGGCAGCAGUGGGGAAUUUUCCGCAAUGGGCGAAAGCCUGACGGAGCAACGCCGCGUGAGGGAUGAAGGCCUCUGGGCUGUAAACCUCUUUUCUCAAGGAAGAAGACCUGACGGUACUUGAGGAAUAAGCCACGGCUAAUUCCGUGCCAGCAGCCGCGGUAAUACGGG
rnacentral:rRNA from 1 species